UAAAAUUUUUGGAUACUCUUUCUUAAGUCUUAAGCCAAAAACCAAUUGGCACAAGCGAAAAAACACCAUAAACAUAACGAGUUUCAUUCAAGGUUCUCCAAUUUGAGUCUCUGAGCCUGAUGACCUCCUUUGUUUCCCCUAUAGCCCUAUAUUCCUAAUUAGGCAACAUUUUGUUUUCACGUCCGUAUUGUUCACUUCAAGCUCCGGAAACUUUUCAAAGAAAACGUUUGUUGGGUUCCUUGGAUUUUGAUGGCUACCAAUAAUUGGAGGCCUCCUCAAGUUAGAGAGCCCCCCAUGGAUGCAGGCAAUUGGGGGAGUCAACUGCAGCUAGAGUCAAGGCCAAGAAUUGUCAACAUGAUAAUGGAUGCAUUGAAGAGGCAUUUCCCCUGCUCUGGUCAAGAGAGCUCACCGGAGCUCAAGAAAAUUGCUGUAAGGUUUGAGGAAAUGAUUUAUACUGCUGCCACAAGGGAGUCGGAUUAUUUUGAGAAAAUUGCUCUGAAGAUAUACUCACUGGAGACCAGAUCUCAGAAUGCAAUAGAAAAUUCUUCACCAAUUAACUCUGCUGGUAAUAUCAACAGGCCCCCUGAUCCAGAUUCCGCAGCCCAGACUGGACAUGCAACUAGGGGUGAUUGGCAAGAGGUGGUCUAUCAAAAAGCAAACAUGAAUUCCAUUCAGUCAAAUUCUGGUAUGCUUCAACACCAGCAUAUAAAACAACAGCAGGAGCAGGAAUUCAAUUAUGUAAAUGAGUUAAAGAUGAGACGAGCUGCAGGCCAGUGUGCUUUUUCCCAUCAGCAAUUGAAAUCAGGACCUCCAUUUCCUAUUUCAUCAACAACCCAAUUCCUUCAGGCUGCAUCCCCUAAAAUUUCGCAACAUUCUUCACCCCAAAAUGACCAGCAGAAUCUACUGGCUCACACAAAAGCUGGAACCUCUAGUUCCCCAUUUGUCAUCCCAUCUCCUUCAACUCCGAUGGCUCCAUCCUCUGUGCCAGGGGAUUCUGAGAAACCCUCCUCGCUUGCAAAUGCUGGGAAGAUUGGGCAGCUACAAGCAACUGUUGUCGGAUCACAGAUCCAGUCCCUUGCCAUUGGCACCCCUGGGAUAUCAGCCUCUCCUUUGCUUGCUGAAUUUAGUGUACCAGACGGUACUCAUGUUAAUGCUUUGUCAACUAUUUCUGGCAAGUCAAAUGUUACAGAGCAGCCUCUUGAACGGUUGAUUAAAGCGGUGAAAUCGAUGUCUUCAAAUGCAUUGAGUGCCUCAGUCAGUGACAUUGGCUCAGUAGUGAGUAUGAGUAGGAUAGCAGGGUCAGCACCAGGCAAGGGAUCUAGAGAUGCAGUUGGUGAGGAUUUGAUUACCAUGACAAAGUGUUGUCUUCAAGGAAGGAAUGUUUUGACUCGUGAUGGAACAAAUGGGUCAGGAAAAUAAGGCGCUUCACUAGUGCCGUGCCCUUAAAUGUUGUGCCAUCAGCUGGCAAUGAUUGUUUCAGGCAGUUGGCCAGUUCAGAGACAUCUGACCUGGAGUCAACCGUAACAUCUCGUAUCAAGAGGCCUAGGAUUGAGGCUAAUCAUGCUCUUUUGGAAGAAAUAAGAGAAAUAAGGCAGCGGUUGAUCAACACAGUUGUUGAUAUCAGUGAUGAAGAUGAUGACCCUAGUGCACCUACUGCUGAUGGGGGUAAAGGAACCAUUUUCAAGUGCUUUUUUGAUGCUGUGGCUUUCGGUCUGGACUUGAAAUCGCAGUAUGCUUCAGCACAGAUGUCACCAAUUCAUCCAUUAAGACUGCUUGUUCCCAGCAAUUAUCCCAACUGCUCUCCAAUGCUCUUGGACAAGUUUCCAGUUGAAGUCAGUAAGGAGUAUGAAGAUCUUUCUGUGAAAGCAAAGUCAAAGUUUAGCAUAUCUCUACGAAGUAUUUCAGAACCCAUGUCCCUUGGGGAGAUAGCAAGGACCUGGGAUGUUUGUGCAUGUGCAGUUAUUUCCGAGCAUGCGCAGCAGAGUGGUGGAGGCAGUUUUAGCUCAAGGUAUGGGACAUGGGAGAACUGCUUGGGUGCUGCUUGAUCAUCUCUCUUCAGACCUGAAAAAGCUAGUCCAAGGGUCGUUAUCUAAACCGUGAUGCAUAGUUUUUCUACCGCUUUUUUGCUGCAACGAUGAAGCAGGUUUAGGAUAGUCUGCAUGUAUAGGAGGAAUCUGUGAUGUUUUGUAUAUGGUCAGAUUUUCCGAAGUGAAUAAUCUUGGGAUAGUUCUUGUUGGAUUUUUCCAAGGUAACUUCUGUGUGUUGUAGUUUUGAUACUGUAAAUCAUCUGUGAUCUGUCUGUAUGUUUUCGUUGGGUUAUGCCGCAUUAUGCACUAUUCUGCUACGUCUGCUUGUAACAAAAUUGUAUCAAUAUUCUGCCUUCUGCAGGACUCGUGUCAUGACCGCCCCCAGCAGUAAUAAUGUGUGAACUGUCACAAUGUGAAUCGGUUCGUUAAUUUGUUUUUCCCCCCUUUUAAGGGAGAGAAAGGGGAUAUGGAUUGUUUAUGUAAAAAAUGGAGAUAUGAAUCUUCUCGGUUUUUUGUUGUUCUUAUUUAAACUUAUAUGUUCUACGGCUGCAUUUGGAUCGGGGAAAGAAAUUCACUCUCAUUUAUUUUCCAAA